rnacentral:rRNA from 1 species
UACGAAGGGUGCAAGCGUUACUCGGAAUUACUGGGCGUAAAGCGUGCGUAGGUGGUUUGUUAAGUCUGAUGUGAAAGCCCUGGGCUCAACCUGGGAACUGCAUUGGAAACUGGCUUACUAGAGUGCGGUAGAGGGGUGUGGAAUUCCCGGUGUAGCAGUGAAAUGCGUAGAUAUCGGGAGGAACAUCUGUGGCGAAGGCGACACCCUGGACCAGCACUGACACUGAGGAGCGAAAGCCAGGGGAGCAAACGGG